rnacentral:rRNA from 1 species
AACGAACGCUGGCGGCAUGCCUAACACAUGCAAGUCGAACGAAGGCUUCGGCCUUAGUGGCGCACGGGUGCGUAACGCGUGGGAAUCUGCCCUUUGGUUCGGAAUAACAGCUGGAAACGGCUGCUAAUACCGGAUGAUGACGAAAGUCCAAAGAUUUAUCGCCAGAGGAUGAGCCCGCGUUGGAUUAGGUAGUUGGUGGGGUAAAGGCCUACCAAGCCGACGAUCCAUAGCUGGUCUGAGAGGAUGAUCAGCCACACUGGGACUGAGACACGGCCCAGACUCCUACGGGAGGCAGCAGUGGGGAAUAUUGGAGAAUGGGCGCAAGCCUGAUCCAGCAAUGCGGCGUAAGUGAUGAAGGCCCUAGGGUUGUAAAGCUCUUUUACCCGGGAAGAGAAUGACGGUACCGGGAGAAUAAGCCCCGGCUAACUACGUG